UACGUAGGGUGCGAGCGUUAAUCGGAAUUACUGGGCGUAAAGCGUGCGCAGGCGGUUCGCCAAGUCAGGCGUGAAAUCCCCGGGCUUAACCUGGGAACUGCACUUGAAACUACGAUGCUGGAGUAUGGCAGAGGGAGGUGGAAUUCCACGUGUAGCGGUGAAAUGCGUAGAGAUGUGGAGGAACACCGAUGGCGAAGGCAGCCUCCUGGGCCAAUACUGACGCUCAUGCACGAAAGCGUGGGGAGCAAACAGG
rnacentral:rRNA from 1 species